rnacentral:snRNA from 1 species
AUCGCUUCUCGGCCUUUUGGCUAAGAUCAAGUAUAGUAUCUGUUCUUGUUUUUGUUUUAAAGAGAUCAAAACCCAAA